GGACCGCGCCCCCCCUUACCCCCCUCACCCCCCUCAUUCAAGCCCCAGGCCCCUUCCACCUGCGCAGAGACACCGGGCCCUGAGCGCCCUUGGGCCAGGCAGAGGCCGGGUGGGGCAGGGGGCCUGGGGCUGCGCUCCCUUCCCCGUCCACCUCCUGGGAGCUUGCUGCCUGGCGUCCUGCGUCUACUCCUGAGUGUUGACUGCGCCGACCUAGCACUUGAAUAGGUCCGGGUGGCGGGAGUUAAGACUUAGGAAGACUUAGCUGGGUCGCUGUGGCACCCAUCCUUGCACCUGUGCCUCUGGCGCGCCUCCUGGCCGGGGUCGAAUGCUGGCAAGUGUGCUUUCCACUCCCCUGUGUUGCUUGGCGUCGGAGCUGGGUGCCCCUUGCUUUGUGAUACGUGGUCACGUUCUAGCUCUAGGAGCCCUGCAGGUUAAAUCAGGACGUUCACAGCAGUGACUUUAAUGGGCUUAUGGAAAGUGUUUAAAGCUCAGUUCCCCAGAGGACGGGUGGGGCCUGUUGGGACCCCUUCUCAGGUGCGCCUGUAUGCUUACCUGCACUUACCAGGCCCUGCCUCUCCACUGCGAAACCACCCCCAGCCCAGUGAUGUGGACCAUCUUGGAAAGAUGAGGAGUUCUCCGAAGUUGAAAAGAGAUGCAAGACUUUAUCGAAACCAAAGUCCUUUAGGGAACAGUGAACCGGGCAGGCCUGGCCACGAGCUCUGGGGCAGAGUGGCCCCCGUACUGCGCUGGGGUUCGGCGUCUCCUGACUGCUGCGGCGCGAGCAAGGAGGCUGCCCCCCCGGCCCGCCUGCCUGUCCCCCCGCAAACCCGUGCAUGGACACCCGGCCAGGGUGUGGUGUUGUCACAGGACUGUUCGCGGCAUUUGCUCCCGUGCCGUCCCUCAGCAUCUGCACCAGCACUGGAUAAAGCAGUGGCUGGAAGGGCUCAAGGACAGUCGCUCCCAGCGUCGCGCAAGAGGAAGAUGGCCCUGGGCUCCGUCCCAGCUGCGCCGCUCGCGGCUGUGUGACAGUGAACGCGCCCCCUGACCUCUGCAAAGUCCACGCUCUCAUCUGUACGACGGACGAUCCAUCACCCCCCUGAGCUCCUGCGGGCAGGUGGCGUCACGGGCACGGAGGACGGGUACCCGCACUGCGAUCGUAGGGAGCCCGGGGCUUAACACUCAGCGCCCGGGAACGUCGCUGGCACCGGGCAGGGGGCACACCCGUAGCGCCCAUGCUCGGGCCCCGCAUGCCUGCCACGCCAGCACCAACUGGAGCCCCACGCCCGCUCACCUGGCCUCACCCCAGCCCGAUUCUGCAGGCGUCAUCAUCACCCCCGAUUUCUAAGGGAAAAUAGCGAGGCUUAAUGAGAUCGAGCACCUUGGCCGAGAGCGCGGACACCGGCCCCAGGCCCCGCCGCAGUCCGUGUGGCUCUGAAGGGCACGUUACACCGCUGGGGAUGGCUCUGGUGCGUCACCUCCCGCACUGGGUGAGCACGACCCCACGGACUCCCGCCUUGGCCGAGGUAGGGCGGCGUCUGUCCCAUUCCUGCCCUGCACAUUCAACGACACUCACGGGACUGGGUUAACAGACGCGGCAUAAAUUCAGCGGUCAAGGGGACCACGUCCGCCAGUGGGUACGAGGGAUGGAGCGUGUGCCCGGGAAUCCAUGUGGUGAAGACCCGAGCCCUCACGAUGAGGCUACGAGACAGGGCCGUGGGCCGCGGUGUCCUUACGAGCCCCAAGCUCCGGCCACUUCCACGGCACCGGGUGUUCAGCUGAGCGGCCGUGCCAGCCCCGCGCCCGCAGCCCCCCGAGCGGUGGACGCACCUGACAGUCCUCCGGGAGCCCCCUGUCUGUGCUCCCUCGGCCACACAGCGCCAGCUGCUGAGACACUGAGCGACAGCGCGACAGUGAUGCUCCCUCGGAUUUGUACUGUCACGUGAAAGGAAAACCACGACAAGUAAACCUCUGCUUCUUUACCCCUCGGGGAGGUCCCUUCAUAACCGAUCACACCAGCAACCAAGUG
ensembl:lncRNA